GACGAACGCUGGCGGCGUGCUUAACACAUGCAAGUCGAGCGGUAAGGCCCUUUCGGGGGUACACGAGCGGCGAACGGGUGAGUAACACGUGGGUGACCUGCCCUCAGCUCUGGGAUAAGCCCGGGAAACUGGGUCUAAUACCGGAUAUGACUCCAUGACGCAUGUUGUGGGGUGGAAAGCCUUGUGCGGCUGAGGAUGGGCCCGCGGCCUAUCAGCUUGUUGGUGGGGUGAUGGCCACCAAGGCGACGACGGGUAGCCGGCCCGAGAGGGCGACCGGCCACACUGGGACUGAGAUACGGCCCAGACUCCUACGGGAGGCAGCAGUGGGGAAUCUUGCGCAAUGGGCGAAAGCCUGACGCAGCGACGCCGCGUGAGGGAUGACGGCCU
rnacentral:rRNA from 1 species